UUUGGCCUACGGGAGGCAGCAGUGGGGGAUAUUGCACAAUGGGGGGAACCCUGAUGCAGCGACGCCGCGUGGGCGAUGGAGUGCUUCGGCAUGUAAAGCCCUAUCAGCAGGGAAGAAAAUGACGGUACCUGACUAAGAAGCCCCGGCUAACUACGUGCCAGCAGCCGCGGUAAUACGUAGGGGGCAAGCGUUAUCCGGAUUUACUGGGUGUAAAGGGAGCGUAGACGGCUGAGCAAGUCUGAAGUGAAAGGCGGGGGCCCAACCCCCGGACUGCUUUG
rnacentral:rRNA from 1 species